GAUGAACGCUGGCGGCGUGCCUAAUACAUGCAAGUCGAGCGAACAGACGAGGAGCUUGCUCCUCGGACGUUAGCGGCGGACGGGGGAGUAACACGUGGAUAACCUACCUAUAAGACUGGGAUAACUUCGGGAAACCGGAGCUAAUACCGGAUAAUAUAUUGAACCGCAUGGUUCAAUAGUGAAAGACGGUUUUGCUGUCACUUAUAGAUGGAUCCGCGCCGCAUUAGCUAGUUGGUAAGGUAACGGCUUACCAAGGCAACGAUGCGUAGCCGACCCGAGAGGGUGAUCGGCCACACUGGAACUGAGACACGGUCCAGACUCCUACGGGAGGCAGCAGUAGGGAAUCUUCCGCAAUGGGCGAAAGCCUGACGGAGCAACGCCGCGUGAGUGAUGAAGGUCUUCGGAUCGUAAAACUCUGUUAUUAGGGAAGAACAAAUGUGUAAGUAACUAUGCACGUCUUGACGGUACCUAAUCAGAAAGCCACGGCUAACUACGUG
rnacentral:rRNA from 1 species